UUUUAUUUUAGGUACAACGAUUUUGGUGCUGUGCUUUUUGUGUGUAUCAAAUUCACAAUGCUCCGUAGGUGAAAUUACCCAUGUACUUUCAAAGCUGAUUCAUGGCUCUUCGCUUGGCAUUGAAGACUCAGUCUGUGUUUAUGCAAUCUACUGUUUGGCAACCUCAUUUCAAGGCCAGUGACCCACCACUUCUUGUGAUUGUUACAAUGAUCUGUAGAAAAUCUCUUCAGGAUAAACAGUUAAUGGGCACCGUUCAGCCACAGCUACUGCUACAUCUUAGUUUCAAGUAUCAAAAACCAGUUUGGGAUCUUCCUGGAGGUUCAGGUUUCCAGUCAGCUCUACCAGGAGCACAGAAAAUCUACUCACAAUGAUCUACACUGUGAUAGUUCUUUAUAGGUGAAGAGGAAUUAACAUUUUGGAACUAAAGGCUCAACCUCAAUGACGCUCUAUGAGAUCUUCUCAAGGUUUAAUUUACCUUGUGAUGGUCAAGUUGCACAAGUGAUCACUGCCUACCUGAUGCAACUCUUCCAUAAGAGCAUAGAAUCUCCUCAUACAAAAGCAGAAGAAACCAAAACAGACUUUUUUUGUAAGCUGUGAAGAGUAACAGAUUUAGGAUUUCCUGGAAAGACAAGUUUCCUACGAAGAAAAACAAUUUAGAUGGAGAGGUGCUCCAAGAAAAAGUGCCUUCUAUGGUGCCAGCACGUGUCUACACUAGCAGGUCUUCUUCAAAGAGACUGCCAGCCACA